UUUAUCAUAUAGUAACAUUGUUAUGAGUAAUUCUAUAUUUAUAUAAGGGGAAUUACGCAGUUCUCAAUUAUUAGAAUCCAUCUUGUUCUCAUUUAAAGUAUAUAUCAUUCUGCAUAGGUAUCUUAUGGUAGUUGAGUACAAAGACUUUAAUAAAAGAUUUCAGAAUGACAAACCUCGCAGGAGUUGCAUUAGGAUUGUCAGCGCUAGUGGCUGCAGCGUUGGUUGUUUACCAAUUAAUAAAAGAGCGAAAUAUGCCCCGAACUGAAAACGUAUAUGGUGAAAGAGCACGGAGAAACAAUUGAUGUAAGCUGCAUUCAUCUAUACAAAAAUGUAACUUUCGGGAUUAUAUAACGUGGGUGUUGAAAUAUAUUUCUCUGAAAAUAUGUAUAAAUAUGAAAUAGAAUGGCUUAUAUUACUUGAUUAUUCAGAAGUAGAGAACUUACUAAUACAUUUAUCCAGGAAAUAAAUAAUUUUUUAUUAAUUAACGAACUCUCAAUUUCUCUUUGAAUAUAAAAGUACUCACUUUAAAUGCAUGAUUUAACAAUAAUUUUAUUUUUUUUUUCUUGUAUGCUAUGAGGACAAACGACAUUAACGUUAAACGUUUAUUUUUAAUUAAAUGAAUUUAUUAAUAAUUAUGAUACAUUGUGUUUCUUUUUAUACUUUAAUAUCAUCAUUAAUUCACACUUACCACUAAACAUACAAUCUACACUACUUCAAAACUCAGAUUUUAAGUAGUUUAAUUUCUUGAAUAUAUGAAUUACUUAUUGACAAAAUGUAAAUUAUUAAAAUUGUUAAUUGUUAAACAUUAUAAAUUUAUAUUAAAUUGUAGAAUUUAAAUUUCAUAUGUAUGUAGCAGCAAUUACAUUUUAUUGUGUCUAAAUUGAACUAUUAUGUACUGUAUCGGGAAGACACAGACUCCUGAAACACAGCGAAAGCUAUAUUAGGAGUCUGGGUUUCAUGUUCUGUGUGAUUUAUAAUUUAUUCAAUAAAUGAUUUUUUUUUUU